UCUUUCUCUUUUUUUUUUUUUUUUUCCCUUUCCUAAGUUGUUCUUUUGUUUUAUUUUUAUUUGGUUGAAGCAGAUCAGCUAAUUGAUUCCUCGAUGCAUUUGUCCCCGAGGUUUCCCAGGCAGUGUGACUGCAUAUUAUGUCCCUUUUCAAGUAUGGGACUCUUUGCAGGAAUGUUGAUGGAUCUUCUUUCUCCUUUGUUUCCUUCAGCUUUUAUUUUCAUUGUUUGCUUAGGGAGUUUGUCAAGAUCAUUCACUGGUGUUGCUAGUGGAGCUACCAGAGCUGCCUUGACACAACAUUUUGCCCUCCAAAAUAUACAGCAGAUAUAUCUGCCAAGCCAAGAGACAAUGGCAACAAUGAUUGGCAUGGCAUUGGGAAUGCUUCUUGCUCGCAUUACUACAGAAAACCCACUAGCUAUUUGGUUUUCUUUUCUCUCCCUGACAAUGUUCCAUAUGUAUGCAAAUUACAAAGCUAUCCAGGGCCUUGCUUUAGAUUCACUGAACUUUGAGAGGAGCUCAAUUCUUCUACAACAUUUCAUAUAAAAUGGCCAAGUUCUCUCUCCUAAACAGGUCUCAACCAUGGAGCAUGUUUUGCCUUUAUGGGCCACUUUAAGGUUGUCAAAGAGUGCUAAGCUCCUGCACACAAAUGUAAAAUUAGGGUUAAGGGUUUCCUCUCUUGAUCACAUAGAAAUGGCCAACCUUCUGAAUUCAGCUGGAUCAUUUUACAAGAAAG